rnacentral:rRNA from 1 species
GACGAACGCUGGCGGCGUGCCUAACACAUGCAAGUCGAGCGAGUGAAUCUCCUUCGGGAGUGAAGCUAGCGGCGGACGGGUGAGUAACACGUGGGCAACCUGCCUCAUAGAGGGGAAUAGCCUUCCGAAAGGGAGAUUAAUACCGCAUAAGAUUGUAGCUUCGCAUGAAGUAGCAAUUAAAGGAGCAAUCCGCUAUGAGAUGGGCCCGCGGCGCAUUAGCUAGUUGGUGAGGUAACGGCUCACCAAGGCGACGAUGCGUAGCCGACCUGAGAGGGUGAUCGGCCACAUUGGGACUGAUACACGGCCCAGACUCCUACGGGAGGCAGCAGUGGGGAAUAUUGCACAAUGGGGGAAACCCUGAUGCAGCAACGCCGCGUGAGUGAUGACGGCCUUCGGGUUGUAAAGCUCUGUCUUCAGGGACGAUAAUGACGGUACCUGAGGAAGAAGCCACGGCUAACUACGUGCCAGCCGCCGCGGUAAAAC